UACGUAGGGGGCAAGCGUUGUCCGGAAUUAUUGGGCGUAAAGCGCGCGCAGGCGGUUAAUUAAGUUGGGUGUUUAAGCCCGGGGCUCAACCCCGGUUCGCAUCCAAAACUGGUUGACUUGAGUGUAGGAGAGGAAAGUGGAAUUCCACGUGUAGCGGUGAAAUGCGUAGAGAUGUGGAGGAACACCAGUGGCGAAGGCGACUUUCUGGCCUAUAACUGACGCUGAGGCGCGAAAGCGUGGGGAGCAAACGGG
rnacentral:rRNA from 1 species